AUUGAACGCUGGCGGCAUGCUUUACACAUGCAAGUCGAACGGCAGCGCGGGCUACGGCCUGGCGGCGCGUGGCGAACGGGUGAGUAAUGCAUCGGAACGUGCCCAGGAGUGGGGGAUAGCCCGGCGAAAGCCGGAUUAAUACCGCAUCCGCCCUGAGGGUGAAAGCGGGGGACCGAAAGGCCUCGCGCUAUUGGCGCGGCCGAUGUCGGAUUAGCUAGUUGGUGGGGUAAAGGCUUACCAAGGCGACGAUCCGUAGCUGGUCUGAGAGGACGACCAGCCACACUGGGACUGAGACACGGCCCAGACUCCUACGGGAGGCAGCAGUGGGGAAUUUUGGACAAUGGGGGCAACCCUGAUCCAGCCAUGCCGCGUGUAGGAAGAAGGCCUUCGGGUUGUAAACUGCUUUUGUUCGGGAAGAAAGGCGCUGGGCUAAUACCCCGGGGGAAUGACGUUACCGGAAGAAGAAGCACCGGCUAACUACGUG
rnacentral:rRNA from 1 species